AUGGGCCGUAGUUCAGCUGGAAGAAUGCCUGACUGUCACUCUUGAGACGUGAGUUCGAUUCUCACCGGCCAUA
rnacentral:tRNA from 1 species